rnacentral:rRNA from 1 species
CCUUCGUGUUGUAAAAUACCCUUUCCCGGGGAAGAAGGAAGAACGGUUCUCCUCUAAAUUAAGCGUCGGGCAACUUACGUUAAAACAGAGGUGGUAAGAUUUUUUUACGCAAGCUUUUUCCGGAUUUACUGGGGGGAAAGACAUCUAUAUACGGUGGGUUAAAUUGGGGGUGAAAACUCCGUGUUCAAUCAGAAGAGAUUUUUUAUUUUUGCCGAACUAGAGGGCAUCGUAGGGCAUGGAGUUUUCGUGUAUAGGUAAAAAUCGCAGAUAUCGGAAGGAGCACCAAUCGCGAAGUUGUUGCUGUGGGGUGUGCCUGACGCUGAGAGACGAAAGCUAGGGGAGCGAACAGGAUUCGAGUCCCUGGUAGUCCUAGCCCUAAACGAUGGAUGCUAGAUGUGGGGCCGAGAAGGCUUCGUGUCGCAGUUAACGCGCUAAGCAUCCCGCCUGGGGAUUACGGCCGCAAGGCUAAAACUCAAACGAAUUGACGGGGCCCCGCACAAGCAGCGGAGCGUGUGGUUUAAUUCGAUGCUACACGAAGAACCUUACCUGGGUUUGACAUGUAAGUGGUAGUGAAGCGAAAGCGGAGCGUCCCUUCGGGGAGCUUACACAGGUGUCUGCAUGGCUGUCGUCAGCUCGUGCCGUGAGGUGUCGGGUUAAGUCCCGUAACGAGCGCAACCCUUGCCCUUAGUUACAAGUGUCUAAGGGGACUCCCGGCGGUAAUCCGGAAGAAGGUGGGGAUGACGUCAAGUCAGCAUGGCCCUUAUAUCCAGGGCUACACACACGCUUCAAUGGUCAGUACAAAAGGCAGCGAAGCCGCGAGGUGAAGCGAUUCCCACCAAAGCUGAUCU